GUUAGUGAAUGCACAACCCCAACGUACAGAGGCCUCUUACUGGCUAGGAGCUCACUCCUCCUUCCCUAAAAGACAGCAGAACAAACUGAGUCCAGGUUCUCUCUCUUUUGGUAGCUUCCCAAGAGGCUGAUGUUUUCUUCUCCUUCCUUUACAGCUUUGCAAAUAUGUGCUUUUGACAUCAGUGUACAGUUUGGCAUCUGCUUUGGAAAUAUUCUUGCAAAUAAGGCAGAAAAGACAUCUUUUGUGAAAGGGUCUUUGAUGGAGCCCGAAUUUGCUGCAAAAAUACGAAGAGCUAGACUUGGCAAUCCAGACCUGGGAGUCAGCUCCAUAAGGGUUACUUCACUGCAGCCUGCAGCUCCUGGCACAGCGUCCUGUAGUAAUAGAAUAACAGGAACUCAAGAAAUAUUUGCAGAAUGUUGAAGGAAGAUAUUAUACUUUCUUGCACCAUAAAGACCAAAGUGCUCUACCUAACUUUUAAAGAGGAAAUGGUAGCCACUUAAAAACAAAAAAGCAACCAAAAAAAGCAACUGAAUAAAAGCAUAUACUUUAAAAAUCUUGCUUGUGUUUUAACUUUUUGCAAAAGGAGACAUAAUUAAAGUGUUUCAGUCUCCCCCUGGACCUCUGACAG
rnacentral:lncRNA from 10 species